AAGGAAGUUUCUGGACUGGAAUGGCUGAACAUCUCUCCUCAAGAUUUGGGGAGUAUAAAGAAAAAUUCUACACAAGAAACUUGGAAAAACAUCAAAGCACAGAGAUAAAUGAAUAAAAUCUGUCUGGGAAACAUGGAAAGACUUCUUCAUACCUCAUGGAUGCCCAUGUCUCCAGAUUUCUAACACUAGGUUUUCCAGGGUCUUUUGCCACUUCUUUUGGCAGCCCACAGAGAUGUACUUUCUGGCUAUACUCCUCAUCUCCCAGGGGAGGACUCCUGAUAUUAAAGGAAAAGAGAACUGGUGUAAGUGAUACACUUUCCAGGUCCAGAUAUCCAGCAAGUUUUGAGCCUCCUUAGACCAAACUUCCUUCAUUUACACAUGCAGUGUGUCAAACUGUGUUACUAGGAAGGUCUGUGGGGAAUCUAAAGUGCUCAGACUCUGUGAAAAGGUGGGAACAACAUCAUCUAUGUCAUCCACUCUGAAUUACCCAAACAGUGAUGCAGAUUAUUUAAGGCCUGUAUGUCACAUCUCUGUUUGAAAAGGGUUGUUGGGAUCACACAGAUGCAUUUCUACAGUCUUUGGAAUGAGAGGGGAAAGUGGACAUGGAUGUCAUUGGAAAGGGAAAAUGCAGAAGCAAGAUGGUUGGGUUACCAUCACUUUCUGAAAUAUAAAGAUGUAGGAGUGCUUGGGUGUUGCUGGAGUUGGAGAAAUAAAUGGGAAGUUUAUCCCACAAAUCCAAUCUCUUUAAAUAUCUGGAGAGAUUCCAAGAUUCCUGAGGGCGGGGAGUAUAACCCAACUACUUGCUUAACCUGCCCUUCAUUCCAGGAGCUCCAUAAUUAGAGCCAGGCAUGAAUAAUGAGGAGCUCUGCAAGGGUUACAUCAAUCAUAAAAGGAGGAGAAAUUCAAUACCCCACCCUCUGCAAAAGCCUGUAGCAACAGGCUGAGGCUGUGUCUCGAUAGGUUUAGAGUAUUUAUUCCUUUGAUAAGUUAUUCCAAAUUCAAAGAGAUCUAAAAGCAAAGCGAGGCAAAACAAAGCAAAAUUCUUGGCAUUUGUGUUUUAUUUGUUUUGUACACUUUACUAUCUUAUUUGUUCCUUUCAGAAAUCAUCUGAGGUAGGCACAACAAAGAUUAUUAUUCCCAUUUAGUGGAUGGGGUGGUUCAGGCACAGAGUGUGUGGCUUGCCUGAGACCAUAUAGCAAUUUUCAUAGAGGUAGGAUCAGAGGCCAUGAUUCCAGACCCUUAGGCAGUUUCUCCUGUCUGCCCUCAUUGUGUCCUUCACUGUGAUUCACUGAUGUGGCUCAAAGCAGCCAGUAUAUAUUAGGUGCCUGUCAUAGACCACAGCAGAGAGUAGGUGCCCCAUAGUUGUAGUUGCUCCUUUAUUUUUAGCCACUUUUCUUUACAAGCUUGGCUCUCUGGAAUGCACGCCUUCAGAGGGAGGAAUUUUUCUCAAUGAUGUCCACAGUGAGACAGAAUUUUAAAAAAUGGACUUGCUAGGCACUUUAUGUAGGACAACGUAUACUAUGGAGCAUGCAGAAUUUUGUGUUGGAGGCUAGCAAAGCUAACCCUAUUCUUAUUUUGCCAGCCUUUUGCUCUUCGGUUUCACUUCUUCCUACUUCACUAAUGCUCUCACCAAAUAUAUGCAAACAAGAUAUGACUAUUGGCAUUAACAUGAGCAAAAUGUUAAGUUGUGUCUUGCUAAGUAAACGAGAGGAUUCCAGCCAGCAUUUGCAUUGCUUGAACCUUAUUGUUAUUUUUCCAUCAACUUCCAAAUGUGCAUCCUCCACAUGUAUGCCAUAGAUUUGUUUUAUUUCAUUUUUUUCUCAACUAUUUUAUGUUGGCUUUGAGGCUCAGAAGUCGUAACAGUAUUGCAUGAUUAAUUUUGUUCCUCUAUUACAAUGGAGUUUUCACGAAAUUAACUAUGCUGUUUUCUUCCUAGUAAUGUCCUUUGAUGAAUAUUUUAUUUUUGUCAAUUGCCGUGUGGUCAGCCUUGCUUGGUAUUUUAUGGUGCUUUUUCAAAUAACAAGAUGUUCCUGAGACCUUUCAGACCCUCUGCUGCAGCAGAACAGAGCUUUGUGUCUUCACGGGAAAUCCAGAGGUCAGCUAAAGAAGCUCUUCCCUUAAGAGCACAGAAAAUGGCCGAUUUGCGGGGCCCACAGAGUGAGAACAAGAUUCACCUGACCUCCCAAAGGCAGCACAUUAGAAAUUGCCAUAGCAUCAGCAGAGAGAAGGGGAAGCAAAAGCAUCCCACAGUCAUGGAGAUGUGAUACCAGGCCAAUAGAGGUCUAUGUCCUGAGACUGCAAAGAACUGCAAGGGUUUCCUAUUUAUUCUCCCAUGCGCAUAAAUAUGGCUAUAGAAUAUUUGCUAUAGAAUCUCCCCUGGCAACUCCAAGGGCUGUGUAUCUGCCUCUUUUUCUGAGUGGGUACAAGUUCAGCAAAAAGAAAAACCGCAUUUAAGGAGUGACAAGUGCAGUGCAAAGUAAGAGAAAGGAAAACAGAUGGAGCAGCUACUAAUUGCCACUGUCCUUGGUACUUUAAAAGUAUGAUCUCAUUUAAUUGUCAAAGUCCCCUUGCAAUGGGGAUAUGAUCCCCAGUGUACAAAUGAGACCUCUGGCACUCAGGGAGGUCGAGCAACUUGUCUAAGGAGUCCAGUAUGUGGCAUUCAAUCAUUUGUUGAAUCAAUAAGGAAUGAAUGAAUGCUACACAGCCAAUACUGGGAAUUGAUAAAGGGAGCUCAUCUUCCCUCUGAUUUAUAGGAAUCAAUACUCCCUGUAGCAGAGGGGAAGACUUAGCAGACUGGGAAGGGGAGCUUAUUAAACGAAAUUAUUGGCACGAAUGGCUGGCAAGAUGAGAGGGUGCUGUGCCUCUGAAUUCCCAGUUAUGCACUCUAUAGUGUGUCAUCUAUGAAAUCUAGAGGUCAUGGUUCUUCCCACCUUCCUUCCCACCCCAACCCUGCUUGGUCUGUGUGCCUCUGGGAGCUCGAAGCACUCAGCUGUGAUACCUAAUGUGAUCCAGUUGUACAUAUUAUGUGUCUGGCCAAGAACUGGGCACAGGAAUCGAGGUCAUAAAUGUUUUCUGCCUUGGGGCAUCUAGAAGUGUGGUAAAGAGCUGGGAACUGUAGAGCUAGGUGACAAGCAUGGGUGUCAUAUUUAAAUGACAUGGGCUAUGCCCAGCAGGCAGGCCUGCUCAGAAGCCCUCAUUUCCUUUUCCGGCCCUGUUUCUACUAAACUUUGUGGUUUUCCAAAUUGUGUUGAGAGCAAAUCCCACAUCCCUUUUGAAAUGAUUUGAUUUCUGCACUUAAAACUUCUACUAUCAUGCCAAUGGUCUGGAGGGCAAACCACUGAGAAAGCUUCUUCCUCGCGAAUUAAAUGCUCUGGGGCAGGGAAAAAUAGAGUGUGAGGUUGUUGUGCCUGGUUGAAAGCAGGCAGGUAUCUCCAGCAUCCAUAUCAAAGCCUUCCGUGCCCAUGGUGACAUUAAUAAUAAAUGAUGAGUUUCUUGCAGAUUUUCAACUAAGCAACAUUGCUUUUCCUGUGGUUAGGUCAGUUCUAGUGUGUUUGGCUCCAGUAUUUCAGACAUCUCUUGCCAAACAAAUGCAAAAGAAUUAGCAUGCAAUGUGGUAGUUCAAUCUAACAAAAUAGUUUUUAAGUGAAUCUUCGUUAUAAGAAGCUUUUGGGGGGCUACUAAUCUAGGUAACUGCUGGGGUGGUCUUGAGUUCUUUCAUCUGAUGUGGACAGGCCCAUUGGAUGGAAAUGGUUGAUAGAAGUUGGGAUGGAUGCCCCAAUGGGGACCCCAAGUAGAGGUUGGGUGGGCUUCACCUCUCUGCCAGAGCAGAGGGCAGUUGAAAAAUGACUCCCUCUGGCUUUCCUCUAUCCCCUGCCAACCAACCCCAGCCCAAGCCACCAUCAGCUCUCAUCUGAUCAGGUAGAAACCUCCUGACUCCUCUCUUAGCGUCCACUUUCUCCCUGCUUCAAUUUAGGAAGCUGAGGUGACCUUCUGAAGCAAGUGCCAUUCUUAACAAUUUACAUCCCUGGUUGAAGCCUUUCAAUGGCUUUCCAUUCCCCUUGGCAGAAAAUCCAAAAUCCUACUAUGGCCUUCAGUGCCCUGCAGGUGCCUGGCCUCAUGUUCAUUGCUCUCCCCUCCUUACUGUGUUCCAGUCUUGAUGGACUUCUAUCUCAUCCCUGUAUCCAGUGAGCUCAUCCUCCUUCACAGCCCCUGCCCUUGUUUCCUUACCUCUACCUUAACCCUCUUCUUCUCUCCUUCUGUCUAUCUAACCUCUACCAACCCUCCAUGUCUCAGUUAAAAGUUGGUUUCUCAGAAAGUCUUCCUUGAUUCUGAAAUAAAAAUAUACCUCAUACUGUUUCUUAUAUUUUCCCUUCAUAGCACUUAAGACUAAGGCUAUUUUUUAGUGUAUAUUUUUUACAUGUGUGAUGAUUAAAAAAAAAAGUCUGCCUUCCCACUGGUUUAUAAACUCAGGCGGGAACCAAAUCUGCUUUAUUCAUGACUAUAUCCUUAGCACCUAACAGAGUGCCUGACACAUAAGAGGUGCUAUAAAUAUUUAUUGAAUGAAUAAAAAACUGUCUUCUCAUGCCAUCUGUCAAGUUUAUCUACCCUUAUUUUUAAAACCACUUCACGGGAUGUUUGGUUUCAGCCCUUGGAUCAGCGGGCACAGCCUUAUUGUGUCCUUUUAUGACUGCCUCCUCUGUGCUAGUUUUGGUGGGCACACUGCCUGCACCCUUCAUGUUGGGCUUCUGCUUCUUGUCUUGAUCCAAGCUGAACCCUUGGAAUCUGAUCUCAUACUGAUUGCUCAAAAUCUGAUAUCUAACUGUCCCUACCUGAUGGUCUGAGUCCUUGCUCAAAGCCUGUUUAAAUGGAGCUCCUUGGGGUGCCUGGGUGGCUCAGUCCAUUGAGCCUCUGACUCUUGGUUUUGGCUCAGGUCAAGGUCCUAGGGACAUAGGAAUGAACCCUACAU